GCCAAGGGGGCAUAGUGGUUUGAGCAUUGGGCUAUAACUUUGAAGAGCAGGGUUUGAAUCCCUGCUCUGCCA